AGCAGCCGCGGUAAUUCCAGCUCCAAUAGCGUAUAUUAAAGUUGUUGCAGUUAAAAAGCUCGUAGUUGAAUUUCGGGACCAAUAUGUCGGUCGUGCCUCGGUACGUACUGGUGUCAUUGGUUUCUCCCUUCUGAGGAUCCUUGAUGUCAUUAAUUUGGUGUCUUGGGGAAUCAGGACUGUUACCUUGAAAAAAUUAGAGUGUUUAAAGCAGGCAUACGCUUGAAUACAUUAGCAUGGAAUAAUGAAAUAGGACGUUCGAUUCUAUUUUGUUGGUUUCUAGGAUCGACGUAAUGAUUAAUAGGGAUAGUUGGGGGCAUUAGUAUUCAAUUGUCAGAGGUGAAAUUCUUGGAUUUAUUGAAGACUAACUACUGCGAAAGCAUUUGCCGAGGAUGUUUUCAUUAAUCAAGAACGAAAGUUAGGGGAUCGAAGACGAUCAGAUACCGUCGUAGU
rnacentral:rRNA from 1 species